UGUCUUUCAGUGUUAUCGGAACAGUGAUGCUACCUAACACCUCGCAUGAACUACCGUUAGCUACUUUAACAUGAGAUACUUCUGCUUUCUUUAAAGAUGCACCAGAAUCAAGUAAUCCUGUCAAUUUAAUUCCAAAGAUGGAGAUUUCAAGAUAAGGUCUAUUGUCGUUACCAUAUUGAGAAAGAAUGAAGUCUAAAAUUGGUUUUGUUUUAUCAAGAUAAGUGGUCGUUUGUAUAGCGGAUAAUGAGACAACUUGCCGACCUGAAGAAGUCCCAGAAACUAGUUUUUUUGGUUCUUACUACAAUUUGGACAAGUGCGAAUGUCUACGGCAAAGUGGCCUAUUUGAUUGCAACGGAAACAUCUAUAAUUAUUACUAGUCCUGACCUCAUCUACAUUACUGGAGGAAGCUUCUGAACUUGGUUCCGAAUAAAUACAUGCCAAGUCCCUUUCCAAAAUAUUUUUUGAUUUAGGAGGUGGUGGAAUAUAAUCAUUAACGGCUGCCCUGUUGUCCUCUAAUUCACGGGAAAUUUUGAGUAAAUCGUCGACCGAUUUUAUAUUUGAGACAUGAAGUGCUAACCCAAUUUUGUAAAAUGGUGCCAUGUUCUCGAGAAGAAUCUUUAAACGAGUCGCCUCUGGAAUUCUAAUAGUAAGCCUUUUGAAAUGGUUAUUCAUAUAUGCUACAUAUAUGCCCAUAGGUUCUUCGGGAUGUUGGGGAGAAAUUCUUGCCUAAGCAAAGAUACUAAUGAGUCCCAGUCGUCAGCUUUUUCGACGUUUCCACGAUACCAUACCAAUGCUACGUCUGAAAACAAAUCUAUCGCUGAAGAAAACAGUUCAUCGUCGGAGACGUGACGAGCAAUUUUCAUUUCCUGAACUCUUUCUAAAAAUGCGUUUAGUGAUAGCUCAGUAGGUUUACCCG